AAUACGUAGGUGGCAAGCGUUGUCCGGAAUUAUUGGGCGUAAAGCGCGCGCAGGCGGUCCUUUAAGUCUGAUGUGAAAGCCCACGGCUCAACCGUGGAGGGUCAUUGGAAACUGGGGGACUUGAGUACAGAAGAGGAAAGCGGAAUUCCACGUGUAGCGGUGAAAUGCGUAGAGAUGUGGAGGAACACCAGUGGCGAAGGCGGCUUUCUGGUCUGUAACUGACGCUGAGGCGCGAAAGCGUGGGGAGCAAACAGGA
rnacentral:rRNA from 1 species